UACGGGGGGGGCAAGCGUUGUUCGGAAUUACUGGGCGUAAAGGGCUCGUAGGUGGCCAACUAAGUCAGACGUGAAAUCCCCAGGCUCAACCUGGGAACUGCGUCUGAUACUGGAUGGCUUGAAUUCGGGAGAGGGAUGCAGAAUUCCAGGUGUAGCGGUGAAAUGCGUAGAUAUCUGGGGGAAUACCGGUGGCGAAGGCGGCAUCCUGGACCGAGAUUGACACUGAUGAGCGAAAGCUAGGGGAGCGAACAGG
rnacentral:rRNA from 1 species